UACGUAGGGAGCAAGCGUUGUCCGGAAUCAUUGGGCGUAAAGCGCACGUAGGCGGUUCGUUAUGUCGGAUGUGAAAGCCCUUGGCUUAACCGAGGAAGUGCAUCCGAAACUGGCGAGCUAGAGUACGAAAGAGGAUCGCGGAAUUCCCGGUGUAGAGGUGAAAUUCGUAGAUAUCGGGAGGAACACCAGUGGCGAAGGCGGCGACCUGGGCCAAUAUUGACGCUGAGGUGCGAAAGCGUGGGGAGCAAACAGG
rnacentral:rRNA from 1 species